AUGGAUCUGGUGGUGGGAGCCUCGCAAUCCACCGUGAAGUCUCUGGUGAGCAAGCUGGGCAGCCUGCUAGCCCAGGAGUACGCUCUGAUCCGGGGCGUCCGCGGCGACAUCCAGUACAUCAGCGACGAGCUCUGCAGCAUGCAGGCCUUCCUCACCAACCUCGGCACCGGCGACGAGGACCACGACGCCCAGAUCCAGGACUGGGCGAAGCAGAUCCGCGACAUCGCCUACGACAUCGAGGACUGCGUCGACGACUUCGCCCACCGGCUUCCCGACGACCCUGGCGGCGGCGGCGGCGGCUGCUGCUCCUCCGUCAACGUGUGGGUCCACGGCAUCCUGACGUGGUAUCCUCGACGCGAGAUCGCCGUGAAGAUCGCCGAGCUCAAGAACCGGGCCGAGCACGUGGGCACACGGCGCACCAGGUACGGCGUCCGCGACCCGGAUCCGGGCAAGAUCGGGGGGAGAUCUGCCGGCGAAGCCGCAUAUCUCGCCGCCGAGAACCAGGUGUCGGGCUGUCAGCUUGUGGGCGUGAAGGAACCCGUGGGCAUGGCUGACGCCAUCAGCGAUCUCGAGCGGUGGGUGAAAGAUCCCAACAAGGCGAGGCGCGUGCUGUCCCUCGUCGGAUUCGGUGGCGUAGGCAAGACCACCAUCGCCAUGGCGCUGUACCGCAAAUUUGGGGGUCAGUUUCUGCUACAAUGA
rnacentral:rRNA from 1 species